ACGGUGCUAUCUGCAUUUACGCAUCUGCACCGGAGUCAGCGUAACUCUGCGGAACAGGGGCGCGCUUGCUCCAAAUCCGGGAACGUUACGGAUGGCCAAUCGCUGUGUGAAUGCGCUGCGGAUCUGAUCCAGAGCCUCGCUGCGAGACCGUUCAAAAAUUCGCAACGGUUUCCAACGGUCUACCAGAUUUUGGCCAGGAUGGAGCCAUUAAAACUGGUUGUGUCUUGUAUGGAGAUGACUGAAUAUUGAAGGAGCUGUACGGAAAUGCAAAGUGAGCAGCAACACCACAGAAGAGAUUUCCAAACAUGCUAUCCGAUGGUUCAAUCUUGCAUCAGACCGCGGAGGCGGACGCCGAGAGAUAUACAGGUCAUCUACAGCUCUUCAAACUACAGAGGGUUAAUAAUUCACUUUUGGAAAACACAAAAAGGCGCCAAAUGUUAAGUGUUCAAUAAAUAUUGUAUUCAUAUUCAGUACA